GUUUGAUAUUCAGUCCGCGGUCCCUGAUUCAUCUUAUCCAAAACUCCUCCCUUUCCAGCGACGGCAGCGAUGGCGGAGCAUGAGCAGGUGAGGGCGGCGCCUUCGUCGGACGGCAAGCCGCGACGGAGGAGAAGGCGGACGCCAUGGGUGCGGCUACAGACGAGGCGGAGGAGAAGGCGGACGCCGUGGGCUUGCUGCACGGCUAUAGCCGAGGCGGAGGAGAAGGCGGACGCCGUGGGCGUUCAUGGAGGAUGGUACGCCGGCCGCGUCAAGUCCCCUGCCCCCGGCCGCCGGCGCCUGUUCUCGGCCUCCAUCGCCCGGAGGCGUGCCCCUGCUGUCGGCCUUCGCGUCUGCUUCGUCUGCAUCACGCCAGCGCCGCCCUCGUCGUCGCGGCGUUCUUCUGCUUCCGGCGUCGCCCCGUCGCCCAUGCGCCGAGUUCUGCUGCGGCCUCUGUUCUUCCGCAACGAGUAGCAGCAGGUCGUCUGCGGUUGCGGCAGCGGUGUAGGCGAGCGAGGCAGAGGAGCAGUCAACACCGGCGUCAAGGGCAAGGUAGGCCGGGCGCAGUGUCCUCCGGCGUGUGGUGGCGCAUUUGUACGACGCAGGAGGCUGGGCGCGUCGAUUCGGGUGAGGGGAGUGGGGUCCAGAUCUGGUCGAGGACGGGGCAACCGGCGGCGGCGGCGUGGCUGACGCUGGACGGAGAGAGAGGCAGAGCAAGGCACGCCGAAUCGCUGGAUGGCGCACCUCCCCUAGCCUCCUUCCUCUCCCGGUCGUUGGGGAAGCAGGACGGCCACCUCUGCUGGACGCCCUUCCCUGGUCGACGACGAGCGAUGCGGGCUGACACGGUGGCGCCCUUCCGUUGUGGAGUACCGUACUAGGACGACGGCGGUUAAGGUCAACGCCCUGCUCGACGCCCCCAUCUGCUGCUCGAUGCGCCCAUCCCCUCGCUGGUUGAGCUCAACGCCACCUUGCUCUGCCUCCGGCAGUCAUUUCAUCCAAUCUGGCUGGUCCGCUCCCCACCUGGGCGGCUCCUUCAGUCCGGCAGCACACCACGCUCAAGCCUCCACCACCCCAACUCCUCAAGUUACAGUAGACAAGGAGCUCCGCUGUACCUCUCAUCUCUUUCCCUAUCCUGGUGGUCACGGGCUGAUGUUGCUGCUCCUCUCCUUCAGGAUCUAUCUCUUUCUCUUUGUCUCUCACCCUCUCAUGGAUUGACAACUGCAUUCUUCCCAAAUUAAUGUGUGCCUCUGUUCUUGAUAUUACGCCCACACCAUGUUUGAUGUUAUGCUUAUGAGGAGUUGAACUUCAUUUUUUUUCAGGCUUUUCUUUGGUGUAUCAGGCAUUCAGGCUGGUGUAAUUUGUUUUCAGAAGUGAACAUGUUGUACAGUCCAAUGUAUCUACAAAAAUUAAGUUAUGCAGAACUACAGAACUAUUAGCAGCUUUUAAUUAUGUGUACUUAAAAUGGAUUUGGUGUCCAGGACAUGUGGAGUUGAGAUCAGGUUGAAUUAUGUGCUGAUGUUCUUCGAUAGUAUAAUUGUUCUUCUCCUUUAACAUGAUGCACCAUUGACUUAUUUUUUUAGAUGCUCAAAUACGCAGAGUAAUGACAUCCUGUAUGCGCUUGGACACCCAGCAGAUUGAAAAUAUAGAAGCAAAGAUAUCCAAUACGAGGCCACGAUGCCCGACAGAGAUGCAGCCAAUACGCGCCCAAUCUUUAUUUCUUGAUGUUGGAACAACAAAUAAGAGCAUGUUCAUGUUUAUUUAUUAUGGUUUUUUUUCGAGAAAUUUUGGGGAUUUACAAGCUGAAAUUAUUGACUGUCUGAAAAAAUGUUUUAACCAAAACUCUUUGAACAAUGUGCCCUGGUUCUGCAUUCAUGGAACUGUAAAAAAAAUUGAACAAGUUCAGUCGGAGUUUUGUUCCUGUUAAUAUUCCAUUCUUAGUGUCAGUUUCUUUCCACUUGCUCAUCUUUUAAUGUUGAACUAUACAUGUACUUAUUAUUAAAGUUUUGUUGUUCCUAAACUAAUUAGAUUUUUUAAGCACUACUGAACUAAUUGGAUGCCAUCUUAAAUUACCUUCCCUUUGACAUUAUUGUACAGAUUCCUGAAACACUGUCCAGAAUUCCACUGCUACAGAAUUGAAAUUCGAUAGCACAUGAACGAGGACGGAUCCAAGGUUGAGUACUGGGUGUGGAACCCCUUCAGAUCCAAGUUGGCUGCUGUUGUACUCUGUGGUGUGGACAACAUCUGGAUUGUCCGAGGAAUUACAGCUUGGGGACUUGGGAGGCGAUCGUAAAAGCGGUGUGCUACAGUGUAAUGCACGAGCAAUAUGUGAAGAUUUUUUUAAGGAGGGGGUUAAUAAACAAUCAGAAAAUUCUUUUGCCCCCUCAGAAAACUAUGUUCCGUGUUUGGCCCCUCUGGGCAUUGAUGUGAAGCUAUACAGUCGUGUAAUAUGACCAAACUCAUCACCUCGGGGUUGAUCAGCUAACUAUUUCUAAUUUUGAAAUUAUUCCUCAGAACA